rnacentral:lncRNA from 1 species
GCUUCUGACUGUUUGUGUCAUUCCUGGGUAGCUUUCUCUGCAGGAGAAGAGAUCGUUCUGCAUCUCACCUUCUGACUUCACACUAGGGCAUUGUGGGUCCAUUGUGUGAGCGCUGCAGCGGAAUUCUUCAAGUGCAGCACAGAUGGGCACCAGAAUCCUCCAUCUGUUCCUCGAAUCGCAACACUCCGUGCAAGCAGUUAUCGGAGUCCUGGGUCAGUGAUGUGAAUCCCUGGCCACUCUUUACAGCCUCUGGAUGCUCAAAUCUCUCGGUCGCCUGUGCCAAAACCAUAGGGAAGUCUGCUCUGGCCCAUGUUCACACAUUUGAUGGACAAUUCUGCCAGUUUUCCGACAGGAGGAAAAACAAUCAGCCCCAGUAAGACUUAUGAGUUGCUCCGACUACUGCCCUUUCAAAGUCCGGUUGAGGAACAGGGAAAACAGAAAGUGAGGUCAGAGCAUCUCACCACGGUCACCAUCGAGGUGACCCCGCCCCAUUUCUGAGGCAGAGGUGGGGAUCUGUUAAUGGUUCAGCUGCAAGGUUUGCAUUUGGCUUAAUUUGCUAAUUU